ensembl:snRNA U6 U6 spliceosomal RNA
UUGCUUUGGCAGCACAUAUACUAAAAUUGGAAUGAUACAGAGAAGAUUAAUAUGGCCCCUGUGCAAGGAUAAAACACAACUUUGUGAAGCAUUCCAUAUUGUU